UAGGGAAUCUUCCGCAAUGGGCGAAAGCCUGACGGAGCAACGCCGCGUGAGUGAUGAAGGUCUUCGGAUCGUAAAACUCUGUUAUUAGGGAAGAACAAAUGUGUGGGUAACUAUGCACGUCUUGACGGUACCUAAUCAGAAAGCCACGGCUAACUACGUGCCAGCAGCCGCGGUAAUACGUAGGUGGCAAGCGUUAUCCGGAAUUAUUGGGCGUAAAGCGCGCGUAGGCGGUUUUUUAAGUCUGAUGUGAAAGCCCACGGCUCAACCGUGGAGGGUCAUUGGAAACUGGAAAACUUGAGUGCAGAAGAGGAAAGUGGAAUUCCAUGUGUAGCGGUGAAAUGCGCAGAGAUAUGGAGGAACACCAGUGGCGAAGGCGACUUUCUGGUCUGUAACUGACGCUGAUGUGCGAAAGCGUGGGGAUCAAACAGG
rnacentral:rRNA from 1 species